rnacentral:misc_RNA from 1 species
UCUAAGGAGACAUGUUCACUCUAGGGUGAGCAUAUCCUAAGGUCGAGCUCUGGACGACGUCGCGCAAGCGAAACGAGACCAGAGUGGAAGAAGUCUUAGAGACUUCUACAAUGCCGAAGAGGCGAAAAGCAGGGUAACCUGCAAAACGAGAAAUGAACUGUUUAAAGCGCAAGCACCUUGUUGUUUAGUUUUGAGGGACCAGAGAUGGGAACUCACUAUUUUUUUGACCAAAUCUAAGUCGUAAGGAUUGACUUUGUAGGAAGUGAAUUUUUAUUACAAUAGAGAUGGACAGAACAUCCAUGUUCUUUGAAAACUGCACAGAGAAGAAAUAACUGUAAAUUAGGAAGACAUCUAAAACCUAGAAGUGGCGGCGCAAAAAUGUUUGGUCAAGCUACUAA